AAUGAAAUAAGAAAAUCUACAAGUGGAAAAAACUUGCGAAUAAAAAUAAAAGUCGAGGUAUCGGACGCCCGGACGGCGGACGCCCGGCUAACUCUUUAAUUUCAACGGCUUCGGAGAAACACAGUCUGAGUCGCACGAGCGUAACUCGCGUUGCAUGAUUCUAGGAACCACGCGACGAGAACAUCCGACGCUGACCUUUGCAUGACGGUGGUUAGAACGAUAAUCGAUAAUCUCUCUGAUUAAUGUCGCGUAGGCAGAUAUGCGCAGUCAGGACUCCGUGGGACGAGUGUGUAUAGAAAUGUUGUCGAUUAUACUCGAAUACCAGAUCUAACGAACGCAUUGGCAAAAGAUAAUACCGAGAUAAUGAUGAAUAUUGUUUACUUGUACGCGCCAAUUUGCUCAUCGGACGGCUUAUUGUCGGGAUCCCUUAAAUACUUGCUAUUCCACGAUAAACGCCUGGCCUAUAAACGGCCGAAGCCGCGGGAGUGGGAAGGUCCUUCUCAAAAGUAAUUCCAAAAAUUCAAAUUCACAUUUGACGACGGAUGAGCUCUGAAGACGGUUAUUUCCUGCCCCGCGGACCGCAAAGGGGCCCUCGGCAUUCAUCCCUUUCCAUUGAGGCUCUCUCCAGCCACGAGCCGUUGAACGGCCAUGAUAAGAGGGGGAUAAAGAUACGUAGUUCGCACAAGGAUGAAACUGAACGUCUACAUCUGUUAUAACCGUUGCCGUUGUCGGUGCAUUAAAAUGAUGUUUACCUUGAAAUAAUUAAACUCGCCUACACAACGUGA